ACACAUGCAAGUCGAGGGGCAGCGGGGGGUGAUGGCUUGCCAUCACCUGCCGGCGACCGGCGCACGGGUGAGUAACACGUAUGCAACCUGCCCGCCACAGGGGGAUAAGCGGAAGAAAUUCCGUCUAAUACCGCGUGACGCGGCGUCGGGGCAUCCCGGUGCCGCCAAAGGGAUUACCAGUGGCGGAUGGGCAUGCGGCGCAUUAGCUAGUCGGCGGGGUAACGGCCCACCGAGGCGACGAUGCGUAGGGGUUCUGAGAGGAAGGUCCCCCACACUGGUACUGAGACACGGACCAGACUCCUACGGGAGGCAGCAGUGAGGAAUAUUGGUCAAUGGGCGGGAGCCUGAACCAGCCAAGUCGCGUGAGGGAUGACGGUCCUACGGAUUGUAAACCUCUUUUGCCGGGGAGCAAGCGUGCGUUCGUGAAUGCGCGUCGAGAGUACCCGGAGAAAAAGCAUCGGCUAACUCCGUGCCAGCAGCCGCGGUAAUACGGAGGAUGCGAGCGUUAUCCGGAUUUAUUGGGUUUAAAGGGUGCGUAGGCGGGAUGCCAAGUCAGCGGUAAAAAUGCGGUGCUCAACGCCGUCGAGCCGUUGAAACUGGCGUUCUUGAGUGGGCGAGAAGUAUGCGGAAUGCGUGGUGUAGCGGUGAAAUGCAUAGAUAUCACGCAGAACUCCGAUUGCGAAGGCAGCAUACCGGCGCCCUACUGACGCUGAGGCACGAAAGCGUGGGUAUCGAACAGGAUUAGAUACCCUGGUAGUCCACGCAGUAAACGAUGAAUGCUAACUGGUCCGGUGCGAGAUGAGCGCUGGGGCGGUACAAGAGAAAGCGCUAAGCAUUCCACCUGGGGAGUACGCCGGCAACGGUGAAACUCAAAGGAAUUGACGGGGGCCCGCACAAGCGGAGGAACAUGUGGUUUAAUUCGAUGAUACGCGAGGAACCUUACCCGGGCUCAAACGCAGGAUGACGGGUCCCGAAAGGGGCCUUUCUUCGGACAUUCUGCGAGGUGCUGCAUGGUUGUCGUCAGCUCGUGCCGUGAGGUGUCGGCUUAAGUGCCAUAACGAGCGCAACCCCUGUCCACAGUUGCCAGCAGGUAAAGCUGGGGACUCUGUGGAGACUGCCGGCGCAAGCUGCGAGGAAGGCGGGGAUGACGUCAAAUCAGCACGGCCCUUACGUCCGGGGCGACACACGUGUUACAAUGGCAGGUACAGCGGGAUGCCACGGGGCGACCCGGCGCUGAACCCGAAAACCUGUCUCAGUUCGGAUUGGAGUCUGCAACCCGACUCCAUGAAGCUGGAUUCGCUAGUAAUCGCGCAUCAGCCACGGCGCGGUGAAUACGUUCCCGGGCCUUGCACACACCGCCCGUCA
rnacentral:rRNA from 1 species